CUGGGCGUAAAGCGCGCGUAGGCGGUUUGUUAAGUCGGAUGUGAAAUCCCCGGGCUCAACCUGGGAAUUGCAUUCGAUACUGGCAAGCUAGAGUAUGGGAGAGGAAGGUAGAAUUCCAGGUGUAGCGGUGAAAUGCGUAGAGAUCUGGAGGAAUACCGAUGGCGAAGGCAGCCUUCUGGCCUAAUACUGACGCUGAGGUGCGAAAGCAUGGGGAGCAAACAGGAUUAGAUACCCUGGUAGUCCAUGCCGUAAACGAUGUCAACUAGCCGUUGGGGGAUUUGAUCCUUUAGUGGCGCAGCUAACGCGAUAAGUUGACCGCCUGGGGAGUACGGUCGCAAGACUAAAACUCAAAUGAAUUGACGGGGGCCCGCACAAGCGGUGGAGCAUGUGGUUUAAUUCGAUGCAACGCGAAGAACCUUACCUGGUCUUGACAUAGUGAGAAUCUUUCAGAGAUGAGAGAGUGCCUUCGGGAAUUCACAUACAGGUGCUGCAUGGCUGUCGUCAGCUCGUGUCGUGAGAUGUUGGGUUAAGUCCCGCAACGAGCGCAACCCUUUUCCUUAUUUGCCAGCACUUUUAGGUGGGAACUCUAAGGAUACUGCCAGUGACAAACUGGAGGAAGGCGGGGACGACGUCAAGUCAUCAUGGCCCUUACGACCAGGGCUACACACGUGCUACAAUGGUCGGUACAAAGGGUUGCUACACAGCGAUGUGAUGCUAAUCUCAAAAAGCCGAUCGUAGUCCGGAUUGGAGUCUGCAACUCGACUCCAUGAAGUCGGAAUC
rnacentral:rRNA from 1 species